rnacentral:rRNA from 1 species
AACGAACGCUGGCGGCAGGCCUAACACAUGCAAGUCGAACGCCCUCUUCGGAGGGAGUGGCAGACGGGUGAGUAACGCGUGGGAACGUGCCUAUUGGUAAGGAAUAACUUAUGGAAACGUAAGCUAAUACCGUAUAAGCCCUUCGGGGGAAAGAUUUAUCGCCAAUAGAUCGGCCCGCGUUAGAUUAGCUAGUUGGUGUGGUAAUGGCACACCAAGGCGACGAUCUAUAGCUGGUCUGAGAGGAUGAUCAGCCACACUGGAACUGAGACACGGUCCAGACUCCUACGGGAGGCAGCAGUGAGGAAUAUUCGGCAAUGGGCGCAAGCCUGACCGAGCCAUGCCGCGUGAAUGAUGAAGGCCUUAGGGUUGUAAAGUUCUUUCAACGGUGAAGAUAAUGACGGUAACCGUAGAAGAAGCCCCGGCUAACUUCG